GGCUAAUUGUAUCAAUACAUGUACAAUAUAUUAUCAUACAUUUAUUAACAAUACAUAACACAGAACCGGUAGUUAGAGCAUACUUUACUGUGAAUAGUGAAUACUUUAACGUGAAUAGUUUAUUAUUUUUAUCAAUAAUUAAAUACAUGUAGCACAUUUAUGUUACACUUGCGUAUGUUCUUGAUAUGAUAAGUUUUUAUCAUUUAAUUUGCUUUGAUAUCCACUGUUAUGAGGUGUUUUUCUUUCUUUAUUAAUUCCUUCCAGAACGCUUAUCAUCCUGGGAGAGCAUAUAGCAGUAUCUUGCUGAAUACUGCAGGAUGUGUGUGAAAAAAUUUAAAUCUUGUAUCUAGUAAUUUUUAAGUUUUUGAGACAUUGGAUUUUAGUGACUGAUAGUGUUGUUUUGUUGAUCAGUGCUGUAUUUAUGUUAUAUAUAUGUGUGAUGUAGUAGUGUUAAUGUUAAUUGUCCUAUCCUGUUAUUAUACAUUCUUGUAAAUAAAACAACAUUUGAAUAAAUUAUACUCCACAUGGU
rnacentral:misc_RNA from 1 species